AGUGAACGCUGGCGGUAGGCCUAACACACGCAAGUCGAACGGCAGCACAGUAAGAGCUUGCUCUUACGGGUGGCGAGUGGCGGACGGGUGAGGAAUACAUCGGAAUCUACUUUUUCGUGGGGGAUAACGUAGGGAAACUUACGCUAAUACCGCAUACGACCUACGGGUGAAAGCAGGGGAUCUUCGGACCUUGCGCGAUUGAAUGAGCCGAUGUCGGAUUAGCUAGUUGGCGGGGUAAAGGCCCACCAAGGCGACGAUCCGUAGCUGGUCUGAGAGGAUGAUCGGCAACAUGGGACCUGAGACACGGCCCAGACCCCUCCGGGAGGCAGCAGUGGGGAAUAUUGGACAAGGGGCGCAAGCCUGAUCCAGCCAUACCGCGUGGGUGAAGAAGGCCUUCGGGUUGUAAAGCCCUUUUGUUGGGAAAGAAAAGCAGCAGGUUAAUACCCCGCUGUUCUGACGGUACCCAAAGAAUAAGCACCGGCUAACUUCGG
rnacentral:rRNA from 1 species